ACAGGUGGGCAUAAGCUGACAGACAGGUGGGUAUAAGCUGACAGACAGGUGGGUAUAAGCUGACAGACAGGUGGGCAUAAACUGACAGACAGGUGGGUAUAAGCUGACAGACAGGUGGGUAUAAGCUGACAGACAGGUGGGUAUAAGCUGACAGACAGGUGGGCAUAAACUGACAGACAGGUGGGUAUAAGCUGACAGACAGGUGGGUAUAAGCUGACAGACAGGUGGGCAUAAGCUGACAGACAGGUGGGUAUAAGCUGACAGACAGGUGGGCAUAAACUGACAGACAGGUGGGCAUAAGCUGACAGACAGGUGGGUAUAAGCUGACAGACAGGUGGGUAUAAGCUGACAGACAGGUGGGCAUAAACUGACAGACAGGUGGGUAUAAGCUGACAGACAGGUGGGUAUAAGCUGAC
ensembl:lncRNA